rnacentral:rRNA from 1 species
UACGGGGGGGGUAAGCGUUGUUCGGAAUUACUGGGCGUAAAGGGCUCGUAGGCGGCCAACUAAGUCAGACGUGAAAUCCCUCAGCUUAACUGGGGAACUGCGUCUGAUACUGGAUGGCUUGGAUUCGGGAGAGGAAUGCGGAAUUCCAGGUGUAGCGGUGAAAUGCGUAGAUAUCUGGAGGAACACCGGUGGCGAAGGCGGCAUUCUGGACCGGACCUGACGCUGAGACGCGAAGGCGUGGGGAGCGAACGGG